AGAAUCUUUAACUCAGUCCAGAGAGGCUGGCAAGAUUGUGAUAGGGAUAAGUAUAUAUUUUAUAUGCAUAUAACUUCUUGCGCCUCGCAAGAAGUUUUUUUUAU
rfam:Proteiniborus sp. DW1 genome assembly, contig: DW1_contig54